UACGAAGGGGGCUAGCGUUGCUCGGAAUCACUGGGCGUAAAGCGCACGUAGGCGGAUCUUUAAGUCAGGGGUGAAAUCCUGGAGCUCAACUCCAGAACUGCCUUUGAUACUGGGGGAUCUCGAGUCCGGGGAGAGGUGAGUGGAACUCCGAGUGUAGAGGUGAAAUUCGUAGAUAUUCGGAAGAACACCAGUGGCGAAGGCGGCUCACUGGCCCGGUACUGACGCUGAGGUGCGAAAGCGUGGGGAGCAAACAGG
rnacentral:rRNA from 1 species